CGAACGCUGGCGGCGUGCUUAACACAUGCAAAUCGAACGGAAAGGCCCUGCUUUUGUGGGGUGCUCGAGUGGCGAACGGGUGAGUAACACGUGAGUAACCUGCCCUUGACUUUGGGAUAACUUCAGGAAACUGGGGCUAAUACCGGAUAGGAGCUCCUGCUGCAUGGUGGGGGUUGGAAAGUUUCGGCGGUUGGGGAUGGACUCGCGGCUUAUCAGCUUGUUGGUGGGGUAGUGGCUUACCAAGGCUUUGACGGGUAGCCGGCCUGAGAGGGUGACCGGCCACAUUGGGACUGAGAUACGGCCCAGACUCCUACGGGAGGCAGCAGUGGGGAAUAUUGCACAAUGGGCGGAAGCCUGAUGCAGCAACGCCGCGUGCGGGAUGACGGCCUUCGGGUUGUAAACCGCUUUCGCCUGUGACGAAGCGUGAGUGACGGUAAUGGGUAAAGAAGCACCGGCUAACUACGUG
rnacentral:rRNA from 1 species